AAAAAAGAGAACGGCGCUUCCGUGAUUUUCCCAUCCACGAGAUCAGGAUGGACAUAAGAUCACAGAGUCAGGAUCAAGAAGAAAUAUUUCGAGGUCUAGAAAGUGAGGGACAAAAAAGAGCAAGGAUGGAUUAUAUGACAUGGACUGAAGCAGAGGCUAACGAAUUGCUUAGACUGUUAGUAGAGGAAGUUAAGAAUGGAAAUAAGCAAGCAAAUGGCAGUUUUAAAAAGUAUGUGAUUCUGAAGAAUGUGAUACCCCCUCUAGUUGAAAAUUUUGGAAAAGAUUUUAGAUAUAAUCAUGUAAUGAACAAGAUAAAGCAAUGGAAGAGAAAGAUUGCACCUGUGGAGA